rnacentral:rRNA from 1 species
CCUACGGGAGGCAGCAGUGGGGAAUAUUGGACAAUGGGGGGAACCCUGAUCCAGCGACGCCGCGUGAGUGAAGAAGUAUUUCGGUAUGUAAAGCUCUAUCAGCAGGGAAGAAAAUGACGGUACUUUAUAAGUAAGCCCCGGCAAACUAUGUGCCAGCAGCCGCGGUGAUACAUAGGGGGCAAGCGUUGUCCGGAAUGACUGGGUGUAAAGGGUGUGUAGGUGGCUUAUUAAGUUAGAGGUGAAAGCCCGAAGCUCAACUUCGGAACUGCCUUUAAAACUGGUUGGCUUGAGUGUGGGAGAGGUUAGUGGAACUCCUAGUGUAGCGGUGGAAUGCGUAGAUAUUAGGAAGAACAUCAGAGGCGAAGGCGACUAACUGGAACAUUACUGACACUGAAACACGAAAGCGUGGGGAGCAAACAGGAUUAGAUACCCCUGUAGUC